rnacentral:tRNA from 1 species
GCAGCUGUGGUGUAGUGGCAACACGCCUCCUUGCCAAGGAGGAGACCGGGGGUUCGAAUCCCCUCAGCUGCU